rfam:Salmo salar isolate Sally breed double haploid chromosome ssa20, whole genome shotgun sequence.
UGUAUUCACUACUGUAAGUCUCUCUGGAUAAGAGCGUCUGCUAAAUGACUAAAA